ACGCUGGCGGCGGCUUAACACAUGCAAGUCGAGCGGGCGUAGCAAUACGUCAGCGGCAGACGGGUGAGUAACGCGUGGGAACGUACCUUUUGGUUCGGGAUAACCCAGGGAAACUUGGGCUAAUACCGGAUAAGCCCUUACGGGGAAAGAUUUAUCGCCGAAAGAUCGGCCCGCGUCUGAUUAGCUAGUUGGUGAGGUAACGGCUCACCAAGGCGACGAUCAGUAGCUGGUCUGAGAGGAUGAUCAGCCACAUUGGGACUGAGACACGGCCCAAACUCCUACGGGAGGCAGCAGUGGGGAAUAUUGGACAAUGGGCGCAAGCCUGAUCCAGCCAUGCCGCGUGAGUGAUGAAGGCCCUAGGGUUGUAAAGCUCUUUUGUGCGGGAAGAUAAUGACGGUACCGCAAGAAUAAGCCCCGGCUAACUUCGUGCCAGCAGCCGCGGUAAUACGAAGGGGGCUAGCGUUGCUCGGAAUCACUGGGCGUAAAGGGUGCGUAGGCGGAUCUUUAAGUCAGGGGUGAAAUCCUGGAGCUCAACUCCAGAACUGGCUUUGAUACUGAGGAUCUCGA
rnacentral:rRNA from 1 species